UACGUAGGGUGCGAGCGUUGUCCGGAAUUAUUGGGCGUAAAGAGCUCGUAGGCGGUGUGUCACGUCGGCCGUGAAAACCUGCAGCCUUAACUGUGGGCGUGCGGUCGAUACGGGCAUCACUGGAGUUCGGCAGGGGAGACUGGAAUUCCUGGUGGUAGCGGUGAAAUGCGCAGAUAUCAGGAGGAACACCGGUGGCGAAGGCGGGUCUCUGGGCCGAUACUGACGCUGGAGGAGCGGAAAGCGUGGGGAGCGAACAGG
rnacentral:rRNA from 1 species